rnacentral:rRNA from 1 species
UACGGGGGGGGCAAGCGUUGUUCGGAAUUACUGGGCGUAAAGGGCUCGUAGGCGGCCAACUAAGUCGGAUGUGAAAUCCCCAGGCUUAACCUGGGAACUGCAUCCGAUACUGGAUGGCUUGAAUCCGGGAGGGGGAUGCAGAAUUCCAGGUGUAGCGGUGAAAUGCGUAGAUAUCUGGAGGAAUACCGGUGGCGAAGGCGGCAUCCUGGACCGGCAUUGACGCUGAUGAGCGAAAGCUAGGGGAGCAAACGGG